rnacentral:rRNA from 1 species
UACGUAGGGUGCAAGCGUUGUCCGGAAUUAUUGGGCGUAAAGAGCUCGUAGGCGGUCUGUCACGUCGGCUGUGAAAACCCGAGGCUCAACCUCGGGCCUGCAGUCGAUACGGGCAAACUAGAGUACUGCAGGGGAGACUGGAAUUCCUGGUGUAGCGGUGAAAUGCGCAGAUAUCAGGAGGAACACCGAUGGCGAAGGCAGGUCUCUGGGCCACUACUGACGCUGAGAGGCGAAAGCAUGGGGAGCGAACAGG